GAUGAACGCUGGCGGCGUGCCUAAUACAUGCAAGUCGAGCGAACGGACGAGAAGCUUGCUUCUCUGAUGUUAGCGGCGGACGGGUGAGUAACACGUGGAUAACCUACCUAUAAGACUGAGAUAACUUCGUGAAACCGGAGCUAAUACCGGAUGAUAUUUUUAACCGCAUGGUUCAACAGUGAAAGACGGUCUUGCUGUCACUUAUAGAUGGAUCCGCGCUGCAUUAGCUAGUUGGUAAGGUAACGGCUUACCAAGGCAACGAUGCAUAGCCGACCUGAGAGGGUGAUCGACCACCCUGGAUCUGAGAAAGGGUCCAGACUCCUACGGGAGGCAGCAGUAGGGAAUCUUCCGCGAUGGGCGAAAGCCUGACGGAGCAACGCCGCGUGAGUGAUGAAGGUCUUAGGAUCGUAAAACUCUGUUAUUAGGGAAGAACAUAUGUGUAAGUAACUGUGCACAUCUUGACGGUACCGAAUCAGAAAGCCACGGCUAACUACGUG
rnacentral:rRNA from 1 species